CAGAGUUCAUGCCCCUCGGGGUAGACCUCCCACCCUUUGUAUACAUUGCCUUUGUUGCUUUGGCGGGCCGCCGCGCCCGCGUCCACCGGCUUCGGCUGGUGUGCGCCCGCCAGAGAACCCUAAACUCUUGUUUACAGUGUCGUCUGAGUACUAUAUAAUAGUUA
rnacentral:misc_RNA from 1 species